rnacentral:lncRNA from 1 species
UAAUAUCUAUUUUACCCUUAAUGAAAUGAUUUAUAGCCAUACAAAUUUUUAUCAUUCAUUUUGGACCACAAGUUUUAAAAGUAUUCCUUUCUUUCUUAAACUCCGUGCCGAGUCAAACUACCUCACAUAAAAUGUAAUGGAGGAAGUAAUGAAUUUGUCAUUUUGUGUAUUCUUACUUGUGAAAGGUGCUCUAUCACUCUUAUAACAUGUAAAAAGUUUAAAUUAAGUUUGAACCCGUAUAAAACCGCAUAGACCCGCAACUUGCCCCGUAUUAAUUUAAAAAAAAUUAUUUCAACAUGUCCCGCACAACCUUAAAAUCACCUCACCCCACAUUUAAAAGUAUUCCUUUCUUUCUUAAACUCCGUGCCGAGUCAAACUACCUCACAUAAAAUGGGACGGAGGGAGUAAUAAUUAUGAGAAGUUUAUUGUAUUUGCAUGUUUAUUGGAACCUAAGUUGCAGAUUGAUUCUUAGCGUUUUUCACUUGAGGGGAGAAUGGUAGGAG